rnacentral:rRNA from 1 species
CUAGCGCUGUUCGGAAUUACUGGGCGUAAAGCGCGCGCAGGCGGCUAUCCAAGUCAGUGGUGAAAGCCCGGAGCUCAACUCCGGAACUGCCAUUGAAACUGUUUAGCUUGAGGAUGAGAGAGGUGAGUGGAAUUCCCAGUGUAGAGGUGAAAUUCGUAGAUAUCGGGAGGAACACCUGUGGCGAAAGCGGCUCACUGGACCACAACUGACGCUGAGGCGCGAAAGCUAGGGGAGCAAACAGG